CUGCUCAUUUCGGCAGCACAUAUAAGAAAACUGGAACGAUGCAGAGAAGAUCAGCAUGGCCCCUGCGCAACAAUGACCUGCAAAUUCAUGCAGUCCAUAUUUUU
ensembl:snRNA U6 U6 spliceosomal RNA